rnacentral:rRNA from 1 species
UACAGAGGGUGCGAGCGUUAAUCGGAAUUACUGGGCGUAAAGCGUGCGUAGACGGUUAUUUAAGUCGGGUGUGAAAGCCCCGGGCUCAACCUGGGAAUUGCAUUCGAGACUGAAUAGCUAGGGUACGGUAGAGGGAAGCGGAAUUUCCGGUGUAGCGGUGAAAUGCGUAGAUAUCAGGAGGAACACCGGUGGCGAAGGCGGGUCUCUGGGCCGAUACUGACGCUGAGGAGCGAAAGCGUGGGGAGCAAACAGG